AGUUUGACGUCCUGCUCCUGCCCAGGCCUCGCCAGGCCCCGGCCCUCCGCAGGCCUCAGUUCCCUUGUCUAUAAAAUGGGAGGUGGAGCCCUUGGGAGCAGAGCUGCUCACCUUUUAAGAGCAUGUGAGUCACCUGGGAAUCUUUUUAAAGGCAGAUUCUGAUGCAGUGGAUCUGGGGUGGGGCCUGGGAAGCCGCAUUUCUAAUGAGCUCCCAGGUAAGGUCCAUGCUGCUGGAUCCUGGAUUCAUCUCUCUUUUUUUUGUUGUUGUUUUGUUUUUUGAGACGGAGUUUCACUCUGUCGCCCAGGCUGCAGUGCAGUGGCGCGAUCUCGGCUCACUGCAACCUCUGCCUCCUGGGUUCAAGUGAUUCUCCUCCUUCAGCCUCCCGAGUAGCUGGGAUUACAGGCGCCUGCCACCAUGACUGGCUAAUUUUUGUAUUUUUAGUAGAGACGGGGUUUCAGUAUGUUGGCCAGGCUGGUCUCGAAUUCCUGACAUCAGGUGAUCCACCCGCCUCGGCCUCCCAAAGUGCUAUUACAAGCUUGAGCCACCGCACCUGGCCUCUGGAUUCAUCUCUAAAGGACCCGCCAGCUCCGAUGACAAUUUGUUUUUUUGGGUUGAACGAGGAAGACCUGCCUGUGUCCCAAACCCUUCUGAAGAAGUGGCUGUUCAUGUGGUCAUUAACUUAUUCCCUCAUUCAUUCAUUCAACAAGCAUCCUCUGAGCCUCUCUCUGUGACAGGUCCCUGCCUGGUGCCAGGGAUAUAGAAAUAGACAAGAUCCUGUCCUGCCCUUGAGGAACUCAUGGACACAAGAACCAGAGAUUAGCACCCAAUGUGAUCAGUGCUGGGGGAGAAAGAAGCCCAGGGCAGAGGUGCGAGAAUACCAGAGGAGCCCCUCACUAGACAUGUGAGGAGGUCAGGGAAGGCUUUUGGGGGAGAAGACCCCUCCCCCUCCCCCUCCUUUGUUUUUUAUUUUUGAGAAAAGAUCUUGCUCUGUCACCCAGCAAUCACUGCUCGCUGUAUCCUCAACCUCCCAGGCUCAAGCUCAGCCUCCUGAGUAGCAGAGAUUACAGCCUUACCAGGUGGCAUCCGGAGCGCACGCUGGCAGCCAGUCAGUCGCCUCCGUGGGUAGCUCCGGAGCAUUCACGCGGUGGUGCCGCCCAGCCCACCUCCCCCCACCGGAGUCAAAUGGGCUCGUGUCUCCUGGCGACAAGACUGGAUUCCCAGAGCAGGCCUGGAGGGCUCUCACGGCACUUGUUAGGACAGGCUUGGGGCCUGCCUCCAGAGGACCUUAGCCUGAAUCUGUCCUCCGGCUGCUCCUCACCUCUCCACUCGAUGUCUAAUGGAUGCCUCCAGCCCAGCAAGUUCACAUGAAGCUCUUGGCUCAAACCCCUUCCUCCACUGACUCUUCUUCUGGGACCCUCAUCCUUCUGUUCAGGAAGCCAAAAAGCUUGGUGUCAUCGUUCACUCCUUUUUCUCACCCCACAUCCAAUCCGUCAGGAAAGCCAGUGACCACCUUCAACAUACACCAGAGUCCCACGCCUUCUCACCACCUCGCCUAGACCACCUGGUCCAAGAUCUCUUGUUAAGGCACGUGCAGUGGCCUCCUGGCCCCAUCACUACUUCAGCCCUGGCCCCCUGCAGUCUAUUCCCAACUGGCACCUGGCCUGGAAGUGAGGCCAUGUUCACCCUCAGGCCCCACCUCACUUGGAGUAACAGCCAAGCCCUUCCCUGCCUACGAGACCCUCGGGGGCUGACCUGUUCUCCCACCACUGCUGGCCUCAGAGCCUUCGCACUGUCUGUUCCCUCUCCCUUUGAAACUCCCCCCAUCAUAUCUGCACAGUGCCCUGCCUCUUGCUUUCAGAUCUCUAUUCAGGGAGGUCUCCCCUGGCCAAUCUGCAUGCAGAUGAGGUCUCCGGUACUUCCCGUCUUAGACAUAUGUUUAUAUGUUCCUUAUCUGUCUCCUCUACUAGAAGUAAGUCUAUGAGGGCAGGAAUUUCUUUCUCCUGUGUUCCCUGCUGUAUUUUCAGUAUCUAGAAUGGUAUCUGGCAUGUAGUAGACCCAGAUAAAUAUUUGCUAAAUAAAUGAAUGAAUGAACAAGUGCCUCCUUCACCAGACAGUGAAGAUUUAAAUGGCAGACACAUGAUCGUACUCACCACCAUAGCCCGAGUACUUGAACCUAAUCAGGGCUCAGGAAAUACUUGCUGAAUCCAUGGGCAGAUGGAUGGAUGGAAGGAUGGAAGGAUGGAUGGAUGGAUGGAUGGAUGGAUGGAUGGAUGGAUGGAUGGAUAAACUGUCCCCAAGGGUUUCUACCAAGACAGGUACCCGGCCCAACUUUGCAGGAGGAGGCAGGUCUGUCCACCCUGGUGAUGCCUGAGCCCUAGAGUCUCCUAGGGGCAUCUGAGACACUGAGGUCCCAGUUCCUGACCACCCC
rnacentral:lncRNA from 10 species